rnacentral:RNase_P_RNA from 1 species
CGAGGAAGCCGAACGACCGCGGGCAUAAGGCGAAAGCCUGUGCGUGAGGAAAGUCCGGGCUCCAUAGGGCAAGGAUAACGGGUAACGCCCGCCGAAGGCAACUUCAGGAAAAGUGCAACAGAGAUAUACCGCCGCGUCGUGAGCUUAAUGCUCGCGGUAAAACCUUUCGGUUUUGCCGUUCGCGGUAAGGGUGGAAAGGCGAGGUAAGAGCUCACCCGACGGCUGGAAACUGUCCGUCGCUGUAAACUCUAUCCGGAGCAACACCGUGGGAGGACAAUAGGCUAGCCCGGCCGUCCUCGGGAGGUGGCUGUAGCGUAUCGGCAACGGUGCGCUUAGAUAGAUGGUCGUUUAAGACAGAACCCGGCUUACAGACUUGCUCGCACA